AGGAUUAACGCUAGCGGCAGGCCUAAUACAUGCAAGUCGAACGGCAGCGGGUGUAGCAAUACAUGCCGGCGAGUGGCGCACGGGUGCGUAACGCGUAUGCAACUUACCUAUAACUGGGGAAUAGCUCCCGGAAACGGGAAUUAAUACCGCAUAAUAUCACGAAGCGGCAUCGUUUUGUGAUCAAAACUCCGGUGGUUAUAGAUAGGCAUGCGUGACAUUAGCUAGUUGGUGAGGUAACGGCUCACCAAGGCUACGAUGUCUAGGGGGUCUGAGAGGAUGAUCCCCCACACUGGUACUGAGACACGGACCAGACUCCUACGGGAGGCAGCAGUAAGGAAUAUUGGACAAUGGCCGCAAGGCUGAUCCAGCCAUGCCGCGUGCAGGAUGAAGGUGCUCUGCAUUGUAAACUGCUUUUGUUCGGGAAUAAACCCCUCUACGUGUAGAGGGCUGAAUGUACCGAAAGAAUAAGGGUCGGCUAACUUCGUGCCAGCAGCCGCGAUAAUACGAAGGACCCGAGCGUUAUCCGGAUUUAUUGGGUUUAAAGGGUGCGUAGGCGGACUAUUAAGUCAGUGGUGAAAGCCUUCAGCUUAACUGAAGAAUUGCCAUUGAUACUGAUGGUCUUGAGUAUGAUUGAGGUGGGCGGAAUGUGUCAUGUAGCGGUGAAAUGCUUAGAUAUGACACAGAACACCGAUUGCGAAGGCAGCUCACUAAGCCAUAACUGACGCUGAUGCACGAAAGCGUGGGGAGCAAACAGGAUUAGAUACCCUGGUAGUCCACGCCCUAAACGAUGAUCACUCGAUGUGUGCGAUACACUGUACGCGUCUGAGCGAAAGCAUUAAGUGAUCCACCUGGGGAGUACGACCGCAAGGUUGAAACUCAAAG
rnacentral:rRNA from 1 species